UGUAACUAUUUCUGCUGUAUUGUGAUGUAUUGUUUAAUAGAUGUACUAUGUUAGGUAUAUUUAUCUGUGGUUUUAUUUCAACAGAUUUUACUGAUGCUAUUAGAUUGCUGGGUGGGGGGAGUUUUAUAAAUACAGAGACGUCAGAAAGUUUUCACACCCCUUGA